rnacentral:rRNA from 1 species
AAAUGAAUAGACGGGCACCCGCACAAGCGGUGGAGCAUGCUGUUUAAUUCGAAAAUACGCGAAAAACCUUACCUAGACUUGACAUCCCCGGCAAAGCUAUGGAAACAUAGUGGAGGUUACCCGGGUGACAGGUGGUGCAUGGUUGUCGUCAGCUCGUGUCGUGAGAUGUUUGGUUAAGUCCAAUAACGAGCGCAACCCUCGUCUUUAGUUGCUAACAUUAAGUUGAGAACUCUAAAGAGACUGCCAGCGCAAGCUGGAGGAAGAUGGGGAUGACGUCAAAUCAUCAUGCCCCUUACGUCUAGGGCUACAGGCGUGCUACAAUGGCCGGUACAACGAGUCGCAACAUGGUGACAUGAAGCUAAUCUCUUAAAGCCGGUCCCAGUCCGGAUUGAAGUCUGCAACUCGACUUCAUGAAGUUGGAAUCGCUAGUAAUCCCGAAUCAGAAUGUCGGGGUGAAUACGUUCCCGGGUGUUGUACACACCGCCCGU